rnacentral:rRNA from 1 species
AAUCAACGCCGGCAGCGUGCCUCAGACAUGCAAGUCGAACGAUUAAGACUCUCUUCGGAGAGUGUAUAAAGUGGCGCACGGGUGAGUAACACGUAGGUAAUGUGCCUUUGGGUGGGGAAUAACUUAGGGAAACUUAAGCUAAUACCGCAUAAUGCAGCGGCUCGACAUCGAGACAGUUGUUAAAGAUUUAUCGCCAAAAGAGCAGCCUGCGGCAGAUUAGCUAGUUGGUAAGGUGAUGGCUUACCAAGGCGACGAUCUGUAUCCGACCUGAGAGGGUGGUCGGACACACUGACACUGAAUAACGGGUCAGACUCCUACGGGAGGCAGCAGUCGGGAAUUUUGGGCAAUGGGCGAAAGCCUGACCCAGCAACGCCGCGUGAAGGAUGAAGUAUUUCGGUAUGUAAACUUCGUAAGAAUAGGAAGAAUAAAUGACGGUACUAUUUGUAAGGUCCGGCUAACUACGUGCCAGCAGCCGCCGCGGUAA